UACAGAGGUCCCGAGCGUUGUUCGGAUUCACUGGGCGUAAAGGGUGCGUAGGUGGCAUAGAAAGUUUGAUGUGAAAGCUCAGGGCUUAACCCUGAAAUGGCAUUGAAUACUGCUGUGCUGGAGGUUUGGAGGGGGGGACUGGAAUUCUUGGUGUAGCAGUGAAAUGCGUAGAUAUCAAGAGGAACACCAGUGGCGAAGGCGAGUCCCUGGACAACACCUGACACUGAGGCACGAAGGCGCGGGGAGCAAACAGG
rnacentral:rRNA from 1 species